CCUCAAAUAAGAACGACUUUUGGAUCAAAAAUCGAAUCUAUUCGCAUUUCACUGUGUAUUUUGGGUAAGAGAACCACGUCAGUAUAUUACAGUUUUUAAAGAUACAAUGAUGUACCAUAUGAAGAAUAUUAUUAAUCAUGACGAAGAUAUAGCAUUACCGAAAUGCAUGUACCAAAUAAAAAAAUCCGAUCAAAUUGCCAAAGGACGACGAAAUCAAUAUCAAUAUAAACGUCCAGGUUAUCAAAUUUCUUAAGGAGCCAAAUAAGAAGAUGGCUGAAUUGGAACAGAGACAAGAUGAACUUUUAAAGAAAUUAGAUUUCCUGUAUGAGAGAAUUAAAGCAAUAAGUUCUAACUGUAAAUCAAGUGGCAGUGUUAACAUCACUCUUAAUAAGAAAA